AUUGAACGCUGGCGGAAUGCUUUACACAUGCAAGUCGAGCGGCAGCGCGGGGCAACCUGGCGGCGAGCGGCGAACGGGUGAGUAACACAUCGGAACGUGCCCAGACGUGGGGGAUAGCCCGGCGAAAGCCGGAUUAAUACCGCAUACGAUCUAAGGAUGAAAGCGGGGGACUCGCAAGGGCCUCGCGCGUUUGGAGCGGCCGAUGGCAGAUUAGGUAGUUGGUGGGGUAAAGGCUUACCAAGCCUGCGAUCUGUAGCUGGUCUGAGAGGAUGAUCAGCCACACUGGGACUGAGACACGGCCCAGACUCCUACGGGAGGCAGCAGUGGGGAAUUUUGGACAAUGGGCGCAAGCCUGAUCCAGCCAUUCCGCGUGCAGGACGAAGG
rnacentral:rRNA from 1 species